rnacentral:rRNA from 1 species
CCUGGGGCUGAAGUAGGUCCCAAGGGUAUGGCUGUUCGCCAUUUAAAGUGGUACGCGAGCUGGGUUUAGAACGUCGUGAGACAGUUCGGUCCCUAUCUGCCGUGGGCGCUGGAGAAUUGAGGGGGGCUGCUCCUAGUACGAGAGGACCGGAGUGGACGCAUCACUGGUGUUCGGGUUGUCAUGCCAAUGGCACUGCCCGGUAGCUAAAUGCGGAAGAGAUAAGUGCUGAAAGCAUCUAAGCACGAAACUUGCCCCGAGAUGAGUUCUCCCUGAGACUAUAAGUCUCCUGAAGGAACGUUGAAGACGACGACGUUGAUAGGCCGGGUGUGUAAGCGCAGCGAUGCGUUGAGCUAACCGGUACUAAUGAACCGUGAGGCUUAACCUUACAACGCCGAAG